CUUGACGGUACCUCAUCAGAAAGCCACGGCUAAAUACGUGCCAGCAGCCGCGGUAAUACGUAGGGGGCAAGCGUUUUCCGGAAUUAUUGGGCGUAAAGCGCGCGUGGGCGGUCUUUUAAGUAUGAUGUGAAAGCCCACGGCUCAACCGUGGAGGGUCAUUGGAAACUGGGGGACUUGAGUGCAGAAGAGGGGAGCGGAAUUCCACGUGUAGCGGUGAAAAGUGUAGAGAUAUGGAGGAACACCAGUGGGGAAGGGGGCUCUCUGGUCUGUAACUGACGCUGAGGGACGAAAGCGUGGGGAGCGAACACGAUUAGAUACCCCGGUAGUCCACGCCCUAAACGAUGAGUGAUAAGUGUU
rnacentral:rRNA from 1 species